CCUACGGGGUGCAGCAGUGAGGAAUAUUGGUCAAUGGGCGCGAGCCUGAACCAGCCAAGUAGCGUGAAGGAUGACUGCCCUACGGGUUGUAAAUUUCUUUUAUAACGGAAUAAAGUGAUGCACGUGUGCCUUUUUCUAUGUACUUUAUGAAAAAGGAUCGGCUAACUCCGUGCCAGCAGCCGCGGUAAACCGGAGGUUCCGAGCGUUAUCCGGAUUUAUUGGGUUUAAUGGGAGAGUAGAUGGGAUGUUAAGGUAGUUGGGAAAGUUUGGGGCUCAACCGUAAAAUUGCAAUUGAUACUGGGGGUCUUGAGUACAGCUGAGGUAGGCGGAAUUCGUGGUGUAGCGGUGAAAUGCUUAGAUAUCACGAAGAACUCCGAUUGCGAAGGCAGCUUACUAUACUGCCACUGACAUUGAUGCUCGAAAGUGUGGGUAUCGAACAGGAUUAGAUACCCGGGUAGUC
rnacentral:rRNA from 1 species